AUGGCUUGGGUCAGAAGCACCUUAUUUCUCAAACUGAUAUCUUUGGUCAUGAACAGUUUAGAUUGUGCAGCCACUUUCUUGCCUGCUCAAGGAAGAUCUUCCAGAAAAGAGCUUGUGUGUCUCUACUGCUUAGUUAUGCUUUUGCCUCCCAUCUUACUGCUGGGGGUGAUUUUUGCUCUGAGAGAGGCAAGAGCACAGUCGGUGACCCAGCCUGAUGUCCAAGUCUCUGUCACUGAAGGAUUGCCACUGGAGUUGAAGUGCAACUAUUCCAUUCGUGGAGCACCUUCUCUCUUCUGGUAUGUCAAGCACCCCAACGAAGGUCUUCAGCUGCUCCUCAAGUACCUUUCAGGGAACACCCUGGUUAAAGGCAGCAAAGAUUUUGAGGCUGAAUUUAAAAAAAGUGAAUCUUCCUUCAACCUGAGGAAACGCUCUGCUCAUUGGGAUGACUCAGCUGAGUACUUCUGUGCUGUGAAUGACACAGUGCUUUAG